rnacentral:rRNA from 1 species
CAGAGCCACGGUAAAACGAGGGGAGCUAGCGUUAUUCGGAAUUACUGGGCGUAAAGCGUGCGUAGGUGGUGGUUUAAGUCCGUUGUGAAAGCCCUGGGCUCAGCCUGGGAAUUGCAGUGGAUACUGGAUCACUAGAGUGUGGUGGAGGAUAGUGGAAUUUCCAGUGUAGCAGUGAAAUGCGUAGAGAUCGGAAGGAACAUCUGUGGCGAAGGCGACUAUCUGGGCCAACACUGACACUGAGGCACGAAAGCGUGGGGAGCAAACAGGAUUAGAUACCCCCGUAGUCCCUGUCUCUUAUACA